CAAGGACACACAACUAGAGAGUGAGGGUGCCAGUACCAAACCCAGAAGGAAGCUCUGCAAUGACGUGCGAGGAAGGCAGAAGAGGGGGCAGUUAAUUCUGACUCGGAAUUAAGGAACGGUGUUCUGAAUAAUGUUUAUUAAACAGUUCUUGGUGACCCAUAAAAGAUGACCACGGGUAUUCAGGCGAGAGACACAUCACCGUCCUGGAGAAAGGAUGUUUUGAGAAGCAGGAACCAAACUUCUUCACCGUGGUUUCACCCUCUUAUUUAAAAACAAUAAAC